UGGAUGCGUUGUUGUUGUACUGGUUGUGAUGAUUGGUUUUAUAUUUCAUUUGUUCGUAAAUGGUUCGCUAUUAAGUAAUUAAUAUUGAAUACAGAAAUUUAGUGUUAGUUGCUUGAGAUGCUUGUGAAGUCCCAUCGUAAAUUGGUUAGUGCUGGGGACGCGGUACCAAUCCGAGGAUUCGUGAGGUGGACUGUAUCGAAACUUGAUAUUGCUACAAGUUGAUACUGAUUACUGGGGCAGAGGAGGGCGAGGGUUUGCGCACCUCGGACGCCACGGCCGAUUUGUGAUAUGGUCAGCAGACCAUAUUAGAAGGCGAAGAAUCCAGAGCCAAGUGCAUUAAAAUGGUCAUCAACUUGCCAUAGACUUCCAAGAUGCGAGUUAUCAACCCGACAGAUGAGGUCAUUGACCUGUCAGAUGAGGUGUCAGAUCAGAAACCAGAGGUUGUUGCGGAGCAAGAUGUCAGCGGCCUACAGACAGCACACGUGACGGAGGUGACUGGCGAGCAACAGGCACAGUCAGACGAGACGCCGUGGUGGAUGUGCUACCGUCGCG